CCUACGGGCGGCUGCAGUGGGGAAUAUUGGACAAUGGGCGGAAGCCUGAUCCAGCAACGCCGCGUGAGGGAUGACGGCCUUCGGGUUGUAAACCUCUUUCACCCAUGACGAAGCGCAAGUGACGGUAGUGGGAGAAGAAGCACCGGCCAACUACGUGCCAGCAGCCGCGGUAAUACGUAGGGUGCGAGCGUUGUCCGGAAUUAUUGGGCGUAAAGGGCUCGUAGGCGGUUUGUCGCGUCGGGAGUGAAAACACACAGCUUAACUGUGUGCUUGCUUUUGAUACGGGCAGACUGGAGGUAUGCAGGGGAGAACGGAAUUCCUGGUGUAGCGGUGAAAUGCGCAGAUAUCAGGAGGAACACCGGUGGCGAAGGCGGUUCUCUGGGCAUUACCUGACGCUGAGGAGCGAAAGUGUGGGGAGCGAACAGGCUUAGAUACCCCAGUAGUC
rnacentral:rRNA from 1 species